rnacentral:snRNA from 1 species
GAAUCAGAGGACAAUCUGGCUGUGACAUCUGUAAUACCUCUGACCACCAGCACUGAUUCAGGUGAUCUGGCUAGAUAGGUGGGUGUACCCUGCCUUCUUCACUGCUCUAUGUGUGACCCUCCCUAGCUGCAGCUGAAGAACACAACCUCCAUCAACAUGGGACUUUCUUCAGUCAAGGCUAUAUGCGCAGCUGGGUUCCCCAGCUACAGGACAGGCCUCAGCAUCUUUCAGGUCUUGUUCCAAAAUUAGGGCUUGAUUAACAAAAUAAUUAUUAAGAUGAAGACAAAGGAAAGAGACAGAUACUUU